UACGUAGGGGGCAAGCGUUGUCCGGAAUCAUUGGGCGUAAAGCGCGCGUAGGCGGCCCGGUAAGUCCGCUGUGAAAGUCAGAGGCUCAACCUUUGAAUGUCAGCGGAUACUGCCAGGCUAGAGUCCGGAAGAGGCGGGUGGAACUCCUGGUGUAGCGGUGGAAUGCGCAGAUAUCGGGAAGAACACCCGUGGCGAAGGCGGCUCUCUGGAACGCAACUGACGCUGAGACGCGAAAGCGUGGGGAGCAAACAGG
rnacentral:rRNA from 1 species